AUCAUCUCUGGUGGCCAUCUUCAUCAUCAUGGCGGAGGCCAUGAUGAGGAGGGAGUAGUCCCCCCUCGGGGCUGAGGGUUUGUACUAGUUAUGUUGGAUUGAACAUUCAGGUUUGAGAGCACAUAAUAUAUGUCCUGCAUGCGGAUACCCGUAGUGACAUUGUGGUAUUCAAAUGAUUCACUUGAUAUAUGUUGUGGCAUCAACUCACGUAUUCCCGAGGUGACAAUGGGGUAACCUAGGCAUAGGGGUUGAUUGCAUGUUUUCAUACUAUGUUCUCUGGUAGAAAUCUUGGUGUGCUCCUUGAAUUUUGUUGUGUUGGAUUUAGUAUUAUGAAUCGGAAUUUGUUUUAUUUUAGUACGAAGUCUUGAUAGAUCGACCAGAAUGGACAACUUGUUAUCUUAGUACAAACUCUUAGAAAGAUUGAUCGGAAAGAAUAACUUUGAGGUGGUUUCGUACUGUACUAACAAUCUCCUCUUAUGUUCUCCGCUAGAUAGGAACUUUGGAGUGAUUAUUUAUCGCACGUUGAGGGAUUGUUAUAUGAUCUAAAUAUCUUUGCAUUGUUGAUAGAUUGCACAAGAAAAAGUACGCACUGUAUGCCUCAUUUUCAAGCAUUGCAAUAUUGUUUAUGCUCACUUUUGUUACUUUUUACCUUGCUGUUUUGUACUUUAAGAUUACAAAAAUCAAUAUCUACUAUCAUUACGACACUUGUAUCACCAUCUCUUCGCCGAACUAGUGCACCUAUACAAUUUACCUUGUAUUUGUUGUGUUGGGGACACAAGAGACUUUUUAUUAUUUGGUUGUAGGAUUGUUUGAGAGAGACCAUAUCCAUCCUACACCUCCCACAGAUAGAUAAACCUUAGGUCAUCCACUUGAGGGAAAAUUUCUAUUGUCCUACAAAACUCUAUGCUUGGAGGCCCAACAUAGUCUACAAGAAUAAAGUUGUGUAGUUGACAUCAGAGGGCGGCUUGAUGAAGUCAUCUUGUCCAUGUAACUAGACUUGUCGUCUUUAGGCAUUGAAUGUUUCGUAGUUGAAGGCCUUGCAGUCGGAGAAGCUUGUGCUCUUGAGCCAAAGGUCUUGGAAGAGAACUUGGAGUAUUUGUAGUCAUCUUGCACUUGGCAUUCUCCCUUGGAUGCUCUAUGCACUAGCUCGAGUAACUUGGAAUAGGGCUGGAAAUCUGCAAUCUUCUUGACUUGAUAAUUGAGACCAUUCAAGAAGCGUGCCAUUGUUUGUUCAUCAUCUUCCUUGACACUGGCUCGAAUCAUGGCGAUUUCCAUCUCUUCAUAGUAUUCUUCUACCGACUUGGUGCCUUUCUUUAGUAGUUGUAGCUUCUUGAAGAGAUCACGGUUGUAUUGGAUUCGCACGAAGCAAGCUCCCAUGAGGUCCUUCAUUUGGGCCCAAGUGGUGAUGGGAGGUUCACCCUUUUUUCUUCUUUGCUCAUUCACUUGUUCCCACCUAAAAGAGAACGCACUCUUGGAACUCAAGUAAAGUUAUGGCAAUCUUCUUUUCUUCUUUGAUGUUUUGUAGACGACAGAUCUUGUCAACCUUGAGUGCCCAUAAAAGAUAGUCUUCGGGAUCAUUAUUUCCUAAAAACUUAGGCAUGGUUAACUCGAGCUUUUCGAAGUGAUGUUCUUCAUUAUGAAUGUUUUGGUGAUGCCUUUGUCUUGGAGGAGGUGCAUCAUUUUUGCUGUUGAGUUGACGUUAUUGUUGUUUCCUUAGUGCAUCGUCAUCGUUAGGCCCGAUGUGAUGUGCUUGCAGCCGUUGGCGAGGUCCUUGCACCUGGUGUUGUUGUUCUUGAUACACCUCUUGGUGCUCAGCUUUCUCUUGACGUUCACGCCAGAGUACUUAUUGUUCUUUGCGUGCUUUGCAGUUUCAUUCUUGCAAAGCAAGUGUUGCAUUGAAGGGCACGUUGUGCUUCAAGUGCUUGUUCCCCACAUCACGUUCAUCUUCAUGUCUUUGUUGUAGGAGUUCUUGAUCCAAAUCAUCUUGUUCUUGUCGGUGAUGUUGGUCACGCUCGUGAUGUCGAUCUUUCAAUCCAUUGCCGUGGAAAGGAUUGUCUGAUUCAUGGUGGUGGCGACGGGCGUCACAUUGGUGAUGUCAAGAUCGAGGUGGAAUUGCGUUGGAAGGUUACUUGGAGGAGUGGCGACUUGAGUGGCACUAACAUGAUGAAGUAGAGGUUGAUGACACGUGGUUCACCAACAAAGCACGUAUCUCGUUCAUUUGGCUUGCUAUGUUGUCGUCGAGGUAGUCCCUCAUGCGCACCUCGAAUUCACGCAAGUCGGUGGCAAGUUGCUCAAUGCAGUGAUGCAAGACAUCUUGUGCUUGGCGCAUUCCUUUUUGGGCGCCUAAUAAUUAUAGUUUGCUAACGUAGUUGUUCUUCUCAUCGUCUUGCUCCUCAAAGGCCGGGUUCGACAUGGUUGUCAUAUCCAUAACACUCAAG
rnacentral:lncRNA from 1 species